rnacentral:lncRNA from 1 species
AGAUGAUAACAUCCAUUUUUAAGUAUGAUGGGAUAUUUUGGCACCAAAAUCACCCCUUGUCGAUGUGAAGACACUUAUUCAUUAAAUGACACACACACCAUUAUUAGGAAUAUUGUUUUUAGUUUUUAUUCUUGUUUCAAAAUAAAAUAAAAGUUACCUAGGAAUUAAUUUUACAUGUUUAGUUGCCUGUAUAACAUCAUAAAUGCAAGUAUGCAAAAAGAAAACAAAUAGUUUGCCACACAUAAACUUUUGCUCAUAUCAGGGUGGUAUUUGAUGACCAUGCAAUAAAAAUUACAUUCAUGUAAAAAUACAGUUACAUCAUACAAGUUGGAUGUACAUGGGAGAAACCUUUUUUUAUUAUUUAUUCAGUUUUCACAUUCGCAAGAAAUGCCAGUUUUAUUUUGUGAAUUAAAACAUUACUGCUGUUGUGUGUACAAACCUUCUGGCUAGUAAAUGUAUACAAUGCAUUAAAGAGACUUUCAGCUUCACGUAAGUGCAAACAAUGAAUGGAUCGGAAAAUCACUACAGAUAUUUUUAACAGAUACUAGAAGUAAGGAUAAUAAUGAAUAUGAAGCUGUAUCCACCUCCUAGUCUUAUUGUACUUGAAGCCUGAGUGAUGAUGAUAGCUGCUACACAUGAUUAUUUAAGUAUAACGAAAAGCCAGCUGAAGUGUUCUUGAACAAUGACACUUCUCACCUCUGUUUCAAUAAAGAUCAUAUAAGAACCUGUCAUCGAAUCUUACGGAUCGUUAUAUACAAAGAGCUAAAAUGUUUUUUCAGUGCAUAGAGUAUACCCACACCGUUACAUUAUCCCAUGCCAUGGCCCAAUGCCCAUGUGAUGCAGAACUAGAUGGGUUUGUUCUCUGCCUGUUGUCUAAUGGGCCUUUGCAGAAUUGUGACAUUGUUUUUUAUGUUCUCCCGCACAUUGGUUGGAGUAAAAAGAGAGUGCCAUGAUUGUGCAUUUCCCAAUUAAUCCCCAUCUGCCCAUGGGGUGAAGGACAAAGAAACUAUAUUGAAUCCCUUCUGUUUCUUGGUGUGUACCAGAUCCCUUCUAUUGAUUUUCUCAAAUUCACUAAUGCUGGUAGUUGAUGUAUCCAGCUGGCUGAUUGAUUAAUUUAUUCAGGGGGUCAGGGCAAAAAAGGGUACCACAAAAGGGAUAAAGAGGGGUCUACAAAUAAGUAGUGUGUCACAAGAGGUGGUAAGGAGAGUGCCAGUAAAUUGGACAGUAAGGGAGCAAUAAGAGGGAUGGUGUAAGGAUCACAUGAGGGAAAAUGCAUGGAACCUCAAGAAGGACAAAGGGUAAUCACUGGUAAUUUUGAGAAUGUAAAAGGGACAGGGAAUGAGCUGCUGUUGUAUAUAAUUUGGUAUUCUAUACUCUGAGCAUACAUGUCUGUAUACGGAUAACUGUAUAGUAGUCUAGGUGGCUAAUUACAUUAGACAUUUUGAUAUAAAUGAGAAUGCUAUGGAGUCAAUAUUUAAAUUUGUCCAAUAUCUAGCUACAGGAAUUGUAGUAUAAAUGAAUACUGUAAAAAUAUAGAAAUCGUUAUAACUUGAAAUUCCAUUGCAAAUAGUUAAUAAACCUCAUUUAUCAAUGGAUAACUUACCGUAGUCAUAUUUCAUGGUUGUUUUGGUUAAUGAACAGACAUGGAUUCUCUCUGUAAAACUGAAAAUGUAUUGAUCCAUACUGUAAUUUUUAAGUCUAGGCCAUGGCAGCAUUACAAUAAGUAUAUCCCUCCUCUUACAUCUUCUGGGCAAUGAACUAAGAAGACAAUCCUUCCCUUCCAUCCUUCUAAUAGCCUCACACAGUAAUAGGUUUGGGAGGAAACUUAGUGCGGUCGUGGCCUAUGAAUAGGAAAUUAAAAUUGUGGUAACUAUGAAUACAUUUUCCAUUUCCCUAGCCAUAUCCAUGGCAAUAUUACAAUGGGUAAUAUCUAAGCUACAGAACAAGUGAAGGAAAUAAAACACACAAAAAUAGAAAAGAUAUUGAAGACAAAAUGGCAAGUAAUUAAUAUUACUUGUAGAACUUUGAGGCUGAAUUAUUAGAAGCAGCAGACACAUAUAGAUGAAAAUGGCACAUAAAGAUGUUCUUAGAGGACCAUGUGACUUCACAACAGAUCUGCCCAAGGGAGAUACCAUCCACUGACACCAAGAUAAAAAGACAAUCGGAUCUUCAGAUGCCAUCUACCAGGGCUAUCAGUAGGUACUGGAGAUGGUUUAUACAAUCUUGUAACUCAGAUUAGUAAAAGAUACGGCUUUGCUUUUAAUGACACAUGAAUAUAGAAUGAAAAGAUGCAAUUAUUUACUUCAAAAAGCCAUUCAUGAAAUGUAAGCUCUAACCUAGUCUAAAUUAUACCAUCAUUCUUCCUCACCUGAUAUUGGAUGCAAGGUAGGCAGCAUAACCUUCUGGUUAACAUUAAAACAGAACACCAACUUUAGCCUGAAUUAUGGAAUGGUUCUGUGGGCAGUUUUAUUUUUCAUGAAAUUGUGUGAAAGGGGCUUCACAUGAAAAAGCCUGAAUACUUUACAUUCUGUGAUCCUUGUGAGGUUCAGGCUCCAAGGAGGAAAAUCUUCCAAGAGAGAAUGGUCAAAGGACCCUAAUCCAAAAGCUUAAAUGGAGGAUCUAUGAGACACUGAAGGACUAAUAGUAAAUUACCUGUGGGUGGAAAAGCUUUAAGUAUCUCAUUAAGGAAAUGCAUCUUCAUUUAGCACUUCUCUAAUUGCAGUGAGGGCUGAAAGAGCGGGGAUCUGAACUUUGAGUAUUAAGACAACAUGACUCAAGGAGAACUCUUACAGAGACUCUUGAAGACUGUGUCACAUCCUAAAGGCACUGAUAAGUGGAUCAAUCCUCUUUUGGUCCAAGGGUGCUAAGGGUGUUGAAAGGCCCUCGUCCAUUUAGGAGUCCGUAUUGUCUUUAGUGAUUGAAAAACAAAGUCCUGUACACAAUCUGAUGUGUAAGAGGGACUUUCACGUGUUUCGCUGGCUUCCUUGAUGCUUUGAGACGUUUUUGUGUAAUGGAAAGACUUAGACUCACAACAACCUGACUACCCAAUGGGCAAAGACUCAUUCCCACUAGGGCCUUAUUGUUGCACACCUCACAAUAAACUGAUUUUUUUCCCUUCUAUGAAGAACAUGAAAACCCACGUUCAGGGCUGAAAAAUGUAAAUGCCCUUUUAGAAUUUACCUUUAGCAUGUAUCCAAUGAAGGAUAAUAAAAAUAAAAUGUUAAAAAGAUAGUAACGAACAAGAAUAAUAAAACAAUGUCCUAAGAGGUGUCAGAGCUCCUUUGGGAUAAGGACCAGAAAAAUGCAAGUAAGCCAAAACAUCAUAUGUUAAGAGCUACCUGUCCCAGGUGUGAACAGGGAAAUAGAUGGGGAGGUUUGGUACAUUAACAAUUGUAAUACUGCCAUGGAAAAAAAGUUUAUAAAAAAUACAGAGCUUGGUUUCAGGCAUUCUAGUAAGUGUGACUCCUGUUACUAUAUGGUGAUACUCUACAGGCUCAUCGCCAUGUUUCCUACAAACUGGAGAGAUGUAAACAUAUGUAAAAAUACAUAUAGAUCUUUUUUCGGAAUGGGCAAUAUAGUAUGCAAAUGCUACAUGGUGGAAAAUGUAUGGUUAAAGCCCUAAUGCAGAGUUUUCAUAAUUUCGGUCUACAUUCACAAUACAAUAUUGAUGUAUAAUGCUCAUGGCAUCUAGGUAAUGUAAAAGUUUCUGCAGAGCAACUUCUUGAAUUAGAAAUAUGGCAUACCCAUGCAGUUUUAAACUUUUGCAUUACAAAUAAGUGGACUUUAAUAUAUUGUACCUAUUUUCUUUAAACAUUUAAGUAUGAAAUAGAUCUCCUGCCAUAGAUUUUUACUCUCCAACUUGCACCAUUGGGCUGAUGGCUACGAUUCAUGUGCCACAGACUUCUUUCCCAUGCAAUAAAGAAUAAAAACAAGAUCAGGGCCACUAAAUCGGGGAUUUAUCGGGUGACUGCAACCCCAAUUGGUAUGCCAUUGGCACGGGCUGGGAUAACAAAAGGACGGUAUCUCUUAGUACCUUAAGCACUGUAUUUCAGUAUAAAUAAAAAAGUAUUAAAUCAGACACUCAUAAUUUCGUAAUAUGUCCACAUAGCCCACCCUGAUUCUUCUCACUACAGUUGGCCACUUUACACCAGUUAUUUUAAAUUUGAAAUUGUUCUUCAACAUUUUUUUCAGUAAAUUGAAAGUCAGAAAGGGAAUGUUGUGCACUGGCUUUUUUUGUUUUUAUUUUACACAUGUAUAUUAUAUAUAAUGUUUAUAUUUAUUGAGUGACCUAUGACCUUAGCCCACAAAUGAUACCCGGUGCUCCUCCUAGAGGAAGUGGUAGUGGGAAGUGGUUGCCCCAGGUAAACAGAGGUUGCUACAACCACUGACGUACGUGAGGCUAAUUUGAAUAUUAAGUCCUAUCUCUGGACUGGAUUUGAAAGUUCUGUGGUGGAGCCAGGCAAAGAUAGACAGAACUGCACACCCAUCCCCUUCAAUCAGGAAAUGACCAUUCAAAUCUAGAGACUCUAGGUGAAAUCUGAUAAUUAUACACUUUUUGUUUUUACAUUUCUAUGCC